rnacentral:tRNA from 1 species
GGCUUGGUAGCUCAGUGGUUAGAGCACCUGGUAUAUGUCCAAGAAGGUCUUGGGUUCAAUCCCCAGUCAGGCCA